AUACGUAGGGUGCGAGCGUUGUCCGGAAUUACUGGGCGUAAAGAGCUCGUAGGUGGUUUGUCGCGUCGUCUGUGAAAUUCUGGGGCUUAACUCCGGGCGUGCAGGCGAUACGGGCAUAACUUGAGUACUGAGGGGAGACUGGAAUUCCUGGUGUAGCGGUGAAAUGCGCAGAUAUCAGGAGGAACACCGGUGGCGAAGGCGGGUCUCUGGGCAGUAACUGACGCUGAGGAGCGAAAGCAUGGGUAGCGAACAGGAUUAGAUACCCUGGUAGUCCAUGCCGUAAACGGUGGGCGCUAGGUGUAGGGGUCUUCCACGACUUCUGUGCCGUAGCUAACGCAUUAAGCGCCCCGCCUGGGGAGUACGGCCGCAAGGCUAAAACUCAAAGGAAUUGACGGGG
rnacentral:rRNA from 1 species